GACCCUCCAUGGCUCCAACAGACCGUAGAACCUCCCCCAGAUCUCGACGCCCAAUCCACCAGAUCGCCGCCGCCCCCAACUAUCCCAGCGCCGGCGGCCGCCCUCCACCUGGAUCACCACUGCCGCCGUCACCCACCACCGUCGCAGCCCUCCGUCGACCCCAACCACCACUGCAGCCCCUCCGCUAACCCCAACCACCACACUGCUGCCGACCGCCCUUCGUCCCCAACCACGCCGUCGUUGCCCCCAACCACUCCAGAGCGACACCGCCGAGCACCCGAUUGACACGGAGCACCACUAGUGUCGCCGAACCGCUCCACCGGCGACGACCAUCUUCCGCGGAACGCCUUCCUCGCCACCACCCUGAGAGCUUCCUCCCUCGAGAAGGUUGCCUCCUCUUCACCGAAGCACCAAGGGCAAGGGGUCCGCCUCCUCUCCCGUGAGCAUCUCUACCGCAAGUAGCGGAACGUCGACCUCAAGCGGCCACUAGCGGGAGCCCUCCUCCCACCUCCCCGUGAGCAUCCCCUUUCGCCCUUCCUUCUCUCUGUAUGUUUCCCCUUGAGAUAAAUCCGAAUCAAAUGUUCGUUCUAAUUUUUGCGCAUUUGUAAUCCCCUCGAUCGGCCAACUCCUAGGAUUUAAGGGUUGCGGCUGCAGAAUAUAUCUGCAUGUUUUUGGACUACACGGUGCGCAAUUGUGACAUCCUUUGCUGUUGAUGGCUGACCCUGUGCUAGGAUGAAUAUUGAUAUCAGAAUGUUUUAAGGCUACUAUCUGUCAAAUAUAAACUGUGGAAGCAUGGAGAUCAGUUUGGACUUUGGAGCAGAGCUAUACAAGCAAACUAGAUGGGUAUUGUGCGAUUGACCAAACAAUAGGUAGUUUCAACUGAUGAAUUGCUGCCUAUUCCGGUUCUCAUGUGUGUAUUUGGACUUUGGAGAACCCUGACAAGAAAGGUUACUUAGUUUAAUAUCUAAUUUAGGGUGAUAUGAUGUUUGGCUUGUGGGGUUUACAAUUAUUUCCCCUUUCUGUUGAGAUGCACGACUCUCUAAUGGCAAUUUGUCAAAUGCCAAAGGCAAAGUUUCAGAUGGAAAAUAUCAUUGUACUUUGUAGACCCUAUAGUGCUAUGGUUUCGGUUUUUCUUGUGGAUCCGUAGGAUUGUAGAUUUUCUUCUGUAAAAACUGUAUAAUGUCCAAAAUUCUAGUACCUCUAUUCUACUAUUAUCCUGUAGUUUAGUUACAUUUUUUGGAAUCUACAAGUGCAAUAAAUUUGCUCUGUAGUAAGACUAUUUAUUUGUUGCUGAUAAAGGACUUUUUGGAUGCUCGUUUUUUAGGUUCUGCGUCCAGGUUUAGUAGUAGUGCUGGUGUGUAUGGCUAUGUUCCUAAGUAGAAAAAAAUGGAAGAAAUGGGUCAUGAGGCUAGCUCAGUACCUUGCUCUUUUUUCCUAUAUGUAAUUCUUACAAACUGUUCUCUAAUUUUCACUGGGUGCUUUCACUGAAAUAAACUUUUUAGAUUGUUUCUUCUGUGAUCAGCGUGCAUCUUCUAGUAAGCAUGCCUUGUGUAUUCAGAACUGAGCUUUUGCAUCCUCUGUGUAUUCUGCAGCUUAGUCUUGUGUUAUUGGGCAGUACUUGACACAGACUCGUUGGUUUGCCUGCCAUAGAACCAUUUAUGAGGAGGAUAUGUGUUGCCUUCUCUUGUAUUCCUACGCAUUGUCUAGUACUUCCUUUUCAUGUGUAAAAAAUGGUUGACCUGGCAUUACACUGUUUAGUAUUUUGUACAACAGAAUAGGUAUUCUGUCAGCUGUUGUUUGCUGUUCUUUGCUUAACUAGAUAUCAAAGUAUAAACGACAAGCUCACGUACAAGAUGUCAAAAUAAAAUUAAAUUAACAAGCUCUUGUUCUUUGAUUAAUAAUAUGACAGCUUUGCAAAUAACAAGCUUCAGUACAAAGAUGUCAAAGUUUUGAUAUAAAUUGUACUAACUUAUAAUUGUGGAUUCUAAUUAUAGUGCUAUGUUAAUUUCAGAAGUAUAAACAUGCUAUGCUUAGAAUGCAAUUUUGAAAAAAAAACAUCCCAUGUGUAAAAAUUAUUUGACCUUGCAUUUUGCUGCUUACUGCUACCUCUGUACCAUAAUAUAAGACGUUUUUGCAGUUCAAAUUAAAUUACAAAACGUCUUAUAUUUCUAGUGAACGUACAUGUCAGCUGCCAUAUCAUUUGCUUUGGCCUGUAUUUAGUGUUUUUAUGAUUUCUUGUUUUGAUGUUACAAUUUUGUUAGUUCCUAGAUAUUGCUGGUUUGUACUUAGAAAAUAUUCAAAGUUGAUUCUGUUGUCUCUGAAGUUCAAAACGUUUUGUAUCAAGAUUCUAGGUUUUGUCACAAAAAGUAAUGCUUUGCUCAUGUAGUUGCUGCAUGGUCAACUUGUGUCCAAGAAACUUGAGCUCCUGUUCCAGUUUAUAGUAUUAAUUAGUAAUUCAAACAGAUCAUUAUAGUUCUUUAGAAGUGGGAUUUUGUGUCCACCCGCCAUGAAUUUGUAGAGAGGUCAGCUGAAUAAAUUUGGUUACUCUGAUCUCGCAAGCAUAAUGAUUAACUUUUGUAUAUAUAGAUACUCCUACAGCAGGUAUAAAAAAAGAUACCCCUACAGUACUUAUUUUAGUCAAUUACAAAUAUAAACUGCAAUUGGAUCAUCAUUCUUUCAUGUACAUGAUAGACUCUGCCAUGUAGAGUAAUGAGUUUCAUUUGAUUCCAUGCUCACAACAAUUGAAUGUAACUGGAUCCUCUUUCUUUCAUGUACAUGAAGUAUUUCAGCUUGUUUGUCUGCAUAAAGCCUUGGUUUAAUUUUCUAGGCUAAUUCAACUUGUUGUGUGUGAUGUAGGAAAGUGAACCAAUAAAAAUUGUUUAUUAUUGAACCAAAUGUUCUUAGUGUUUUAGUUGAUUUGUAAAUCUGUGGGCUUGCCCACCAAUCAGAUACCAUUUUAGGGGACCUUCAUUUCUAACUUGUCCAACAAAAGCAUGGAACUAGGAAACUAAACAGCCCCCCAUUAGAAGAUCCUGAAAUAUAUGCUCCAGCUAGUUCCCCUCUUAUUCUGUGUUGUAGAUGGAGAGAGCUUAGAAGGAAAAGUAAGCCCAAAUACAAGCUAACUUAAUUCGCUGGCUAGUACAGUAACUUUGUGCAUGUUACCUACUUAUAACAUCUUUCAGAACAUAUGCAGCUGCUGUAUGUAACAUUUUCUGGUCUAUUGCAGGUUUCUCAAAGGUGCACAAGUUCACUAAGGUUUGGAAGAUCUUUAAGCUGCUGAAGAUUUGGAAGACCUACAAUUAAGUUGAUGGAGUGAUAAUGUCACGUGUCUUGUUUGUCCCUGCUGCAUUUUGGUGGUUGUUAAGCUCAUUUUGGUUGUGUGGCACACAUCUAGAAGCAUAUGUACAUCUUUUGUGGCACUAGUUUAGUUUGGUUGUGUGGCAAACAUAUAAUAUGUACUCCUUUUGUGGCACAACCUUGUUAUAUAUGGUCGUUAUGUUUAUCGAAUGAAGUUUAAGGUUUUCGAUGAGGCCUAUAUCUUACUUUGAUUGAAGUGCAUGUAUGAAUGUGGUAUGUCCUGAUUGCCUAGACAUAUAUAAUUGGUGGAUAUUACAUAAUAUGGAUGCCCAGAAUAUUUCGCUAGUGAAAUCAAC
rnacentral:lncRNA from 1 species